UACAGAGGCCCCAAGCGUUACUGAGAAUCACUGGGUUUAAAGGGUGCGUAGGUGGCGCGUUAAGUCCGUUGUGAAAUCCCUUGGCUCAACCAAGGAAUGGCUUCGGAUACUGGCGUGCUUGAGGUUGGUAUGGGUCACUGGAACUGACGGUGGAGCGGUGAAAUGCGUAGAUAUCGUCAGGAACGCCAAUGGUGAAGACAGGUGACUGGGCCAAUUCUGACACUGAGGCACGAAAGCGUGGGGAGGCGAACGGG
rnacentral:rRNA from 1 species